UGAUGACUCUGAAGUAUUCAAGGUUUGUUUGGACUAUUGGAAUUCAUUAGUUUUGGAGUUGUUUGGGUCGCAACAUCAUGUCGGUCACCCUGCACUAACUCCAAGUUUGUUUGGAAUGCAAUGUCAGAUGGCUUUCCUUCCUCGUACGGUUGAUAGUGUUAAACCUGAAGUCACAGAGCGGCAUAAAAUUUAUUCAGAUCCAUUGUCAAAAGUAAGAGGGCUCAUGAUUAGUCGCAUGGCUAAGCCUGAAGAAGUGUU